rnacentral:rRNA from 1 species
UACAGAGGGGGCAAGCGUUGUUCGGAAUCAUUGGGCGUAAAGGGCGCGUAGGCGGCCAUCCAAGUCGGAUGUGAAAUCCCUCGGCUCAACCGAGGAACUGCACUCGAUACUGGUUGGCUCGAGUCCGGGAGGGGAUGGUGGAAUUCCCAGUGUAGCGGUGAAAUGCGUAGAUAUUGGGAAGAACACCGGUGGCGAAGGCGACCAUCUGGACCGGAACUGACGCUGAGGCGCGAAAGCCAGGGGAGCGAAU